GGGCCUAUAGCUCAGCCGGUUAGAGCAUCUGACUCAUAAUCAGAGGGUCCCUGGUUCGAGCCCAGGUGGGCCCACAA
rnacentral:tRNA from 1 species